UGGGGAAUAUUGGACAAUGGGGGCAACCCUGAUCCAGCAAUGCCGCGUGAGUGAUGAAGGCCUUCGGGUUGUAAAGCUCUUUUGUCAGGGACGAUAAUGACGGUACCUGACGAAUAAGCUCCGGCUAACUUCGUGCCAGCAGCCGCGGUAAUACGAAGGGAGCUAGCGUUGUUCGGAAUUACUGGGCGUAAAGGGCGCGUAGGCGGCUUUAUAAGUCAGAUGUGAAAUCCCUGGGCUUAACCUAGGAAUGGCAUUUGAAACUGUAAGGCUAGAGAUCGAGAGAGGAUAGUGGAAUUGCGAGUGUAGAGGUGAAAUUCGUAGAUAUUCGCAAGAACACCGGUGGCGAAGGCGGCUAUCUGGCUCGAUACUGACGCUAAGGCGCGAAAGCGUGGGGAGCAAACAGGAUUAGAUACCCCCGUAGUCC
rnacentral:rRNA from 1 species